UGGCUCAGGAUGACGCUGGCGGCGUGCUUAACACAUGCAAGUCGAACGAAGCACUUAAUGAGAUUUCUUCGGAUUGAUUAUUUUGUGACUGAGUGGCGGACGGGUGAGUAACGCGUGGGUAACCUGCCCCAGACCGGGGGAUAACAGUCGGAAACGACUGCUAAUACCGCAUAAGCGCACAGUGCCGCAUGGCACGGUGUGAAAAACUCCGGUGGUCUGGGAUGGACCCGCGUCCGAUUAGUUAGUUGGCGGGGUAACGGCCCACCAAGACCGCGAUCGGUAGCCGACCUGAGAGGGUGACCGGCCACAUUGGGACUGAGACACGGCCCAGACUCCUACGGGAGGCAGCAGUGGGGAAUAUUGCACAAUGGAGGAAACUCUGAUGCAGCGACGCCGCGUGAGCGAAGAAGUAUUUCGGUAUGUAAAGCUCUGUCAGCAGGGAAGAUAAUGACGGUACCUGACCAAGAAGCCCCGGCUAACUACGUG
rnacentral:rRNA from 1 species